CAUUGGGUUUAAAGGGUCCGUAGGCGGUUUUUUAAGUCAGAGGUGAAAUCCUGCAGCUCAACUGUAGAAUUGCCUUUGAUACUGAAAGACUUGAGUUAUUGUGAAGUGGUUAGAAUGUGUGGUGUAGCGGUGAAAUGCAUAGAUAUUACACAGAAUACCAAUUGCGAAGGCAGAUCACUAACAAUAUACUGACGCUCAGGGACGAAAGCGUGGGUAGCGAACAGGAUUAGAUACCCUGGUAGUCCACGCCGUAAACGAUGGA
rnacentral:rRNA from 1 species